ensembl:lncRNA
GAUUGGAUUUUUUUUCUCUCCUUCCCUUUCUAUAUAUUUAUCAUAAAUGAUCAAUAAAGUGUUGUUUCUGGGCUCAGCCACCAUAGAAUUAGACCCGCACCACCACAGCCCAGAGAGGGGCGCUCCAGGCAAGGGCUGUGAUGGAUAGCAGCCUUUCCUCAGACUGUAUUCUGGUAGGUGUUCAUCUGUACGUGUCUCCCCCUGCGUCUCAGGGCCAGACCGGACCCUCAGGACCCCAGGGUGGGCCCGGACUGAGGGGCGUCCCCGGGGAAGGGAAGGUCGGAGUCCAGGGACCCUCAGGACUCAGGGGCGAGCCCGGUGCCGCGGGGCUGAGGGGCCAAGCAGGCACAGCCGGUGCCCAGGGGCCCGCAGGACACAACGUAGGAACCCUCCCCCAUAUGUCUUGUUAGUGUCAGCAUCACUAGUUAACACAGCCAUAUCUGUCUGGGGGGGCUCAGGCAAAGGGACCAGUGUGUAGUUCCUCUAAUGACCUCCGGGGGCUCAGGCCCAGGCACUAGUGUGUAGUUCCUCUAAUGACCUCCUGGGGCUCAAGCCCAGGCACUGGUGUGUAGUUCCUCUCAUGACCUCUAGGGGGCUCGCAGUAGAGGGCGCCACAGUGAUCUGUCUCCAUUCUCUGAGUCUACGGGAGGAAAUGUUGAUUCUUUCUCCGUAAUACAAAGGUGAUCCAUUCAGACUUCAUUCUGUCAGGAUCUCAGCUGGUUCAUCUUAAUAUCUAUUUUUCCAGGUCCUGGUGGACACGUAAAUUUCCUUAAAAACUAUAAUAGGUUGAAAUAUAAGUGAGUUUUAAGCAUAGACUGGUGGAAGGCAAGUCCCGCCCUCGUACACCGUCACAGUUACAAAUGCUUUCUAUUGCUCGUUGCACAAUAUGGCGACGCUAAACCCCAAUGCUACCUCCAUAUGACGAGCUUACUGAUGCAGACUUUAUCAACCUGGCCCUCUGCGGUCUCCUUCUGCAAUGCAGGGUGUACCUGGAAGACCUGGAGAGAAAGGGGAUGCCGGUGUACCUGUAAGUAUCCUGAGUGGCUGAUAGACACCUGGCUGCAGAAUAUAUAGAACAUGGAAUCCAGUAGUAUAGAAUACCAUCAUCCAAAUUGUUAUGCGCAAUAAAAGCACAACAUAUCCAUGAGUUUACCACUAGCGAUCACCAGCAUAAGCUAACCAUACCCUACACAUUCAGUACACACAUACAUUACAGUGUAAUUCUGAUUGCUGUGUUAUUAACCAAGUGUGUUUAUUGUCUCACAGGGGAAGGCUGCAGAUCUCUCUGAGCUGGAUCUUAAGGUAACGCAUCAGCACACACACACACACACACACACACACACACACACACACACACACACACACACACACACACACACACACACACACACACACACACACACACACACACACACACACACACACACACAUCAACACCUACACACACAUCAACCCUCAAACAUACACAUCAACACCUACACACACAUCAGCCCCCUCCAACACAUACAGACACACAAACACACACACAUCAACCCCCACACACGCACACAAACACACACAUGUCUACCCUGGUCCUCCAGAACGUGUGCUCAGACUGUCCCGCCGGCCCACCCGGAACCCCCGGCCUGCCCGGCGUUCUGGGAGAGAAGGGACACAACGGCCUCCCCGGGAAGAGCGGUCAAGAUGGCUACCCAGUGAGUAGCACGACCCUUUAAUGUCAUCACGGUUGGUCUCCCUCACUCGGCACUUUGUCGUGUCUCCGCGAUGUUUACUUAUUCCAAACAGUUUGUUGGUCUCGCGGGGUCGUGUCACUCGUUUCACACUUUAUAUCGCUGUUCUGCGCCAAAAUAUCUCAAUGAAUAAAGUUUGAUUUGUUACCCCUCCAU